GGUCCUCGGGCUCUCCUCAUGUUGUUGAGCGCUGUAGGUUGGCUACUUGCUACCGCACUGAGAUGAGCAGCGAACGGGUGAGUAACGCGUGGGGAAUCUGCCUUUGAGCGGGGGACAACAUUUGGAAACGAAUGCUAAUACCGCAUAAAAACUUUAAACACAAGUUUUAAGUUUGAAAGAUGCAAUUGCAUCACUCAAAGAUGAUCCCGCGUUGUAUUAGCUAGUUGGUGAGGUAAAGGCUCACCAAGGCGAUGAUACAUAGCCGACCUGAGAGGGUGAUCGGCCACAUUGGGACUGAGACACGGCCCAAACUCCUACGGGAGGCAGCAGUAGGGAAUCUUCGGCAAUGGACGAAAGUCUGACCGAGCAACGCCGCGUGAGUGAAGAAGGUUUUCGGAUCGUAAAACUCUGUUGGUAGAGAAGAACGUUGGUGAGAGUGGAAAGCUCAUCAAGUGACGGUAACUACCCAGAAAGGGACGGCUAACUACGUGCCAGCAGCCGCGGUAAUACGUAGGUCCCGAGCGUUGUCCGGAUUUAUUGGGCGUAAAGCGAGCGCAGGUGGUUUAUUAAGUCUGGUGUAAAGGCAGUGGCUCAACCAUUGUAUGCAUUGGAAACUGGUAGACUUGAGUGCAGGAGAGGAGAGUGGAAUUCCAUGUGUAGCGGUGAAAUGCGUAGAUAUAUGGAGGAACACCGGUGGCGAAAGCGGCUCUCUGGCCUGUAACUGACACUGAGGCUCGAAAGCGUGGGGAGCAACAGGAUUAGAUACCCUGGUAGUCCACCGCCGUAACGAUGAGUGCUAGAUGUAGGAGCUAUAAGUCUCUGUAUCGCAGCUAACGCAAUAAGCACUCCGCCUGGGGAGUACGACCGCAAGGUUGAAACUCAAAGGAAUUGACGGGGGCCCGCACAAGCGGUGGAGCAUGUGGUUUAAUUCGAAGCAACGCGAAGAACCUUACCAGGUCUUGACAUACUCGUGCUAUUCCUAGAGAUAGGAAGUUCCUUCGGGACACGGGAUACAGGUGGUGCAUGGUUGUCGUCAGCUCGUGUCGUGAGAUGUUGGGUUAAGUCCCGCAACGAGCGCAACCCCUAUUGUUAGUUGCCAUCAUUAAGUUGGGCACUCUAACGAGACUGCCGGUGAUAAACCGGAGGAAGGUGGGGAUGACGUCAAAUCAUCAUGCCCCUUAUGACCUGGGCUACACACGUGCUACAAUGGAUGGUACAACGAGUCGCGAGACAGUGAUGUUUAGCUAAUCUCUUAAAACCAUUCUCAGUUCGGAUUGUAGGCUGCAACUCGCCUACAUGAAGUCGGAAUCGCUAGUAAUCGCGGAUCAGCACGCCGCGGUGAAUACGUUCCCGGGCCUUGUACACACCGCCCGUCACACCACGGGAGUUGGGAGUACCCGAAGUAGGUUGCCUAACCGCAAGGUAGGGCGCUUCCUAAGGUAAGACUCGAUGACUGCUAGUAGUCGCGGAGACUAAAUCGUAAU
rnacentral:rRNA from 1 species